AUGAGGUCUGGCGUUAGCCAGGCUACAUCUGGCCAGAGAUGUACGCAGUAUCUGUGAGAAGCAAAGUUUGACGCCUCGCCAUUCCUUUGCACACGUAGAGCCAUUGUGUACAUGGAGAUGACCUUCACCGCCUGCUCGUGACCUUGGGGGCUUGUUAAUCAAACAGUUGGCAAACAGGCCGUCGGACUGGACGCAUGUGUUGUGCAAGCAGACGAGGACAGACUGCAGCAGAAGUGGUCCUUCAGAUGGAGACAUGGCGUUUAAGACAGCACAAACUCGAUAUACUGGAUACAUAACCUGUUGUACGGCCAACAAAAGGCAGAGAGCACAACAAACCAACAACAACCUUCGUAUUCCUGACCAGCGGUGCUGGAUACCCCUGUGACAACACACCAAUACUCAGCUGCCUCAAACGGGAAAAUGUCAGUCUGGCGAGUGAUGUUUUCACACUGUCGAGUAAAAUAGAU
ensembl:lncRNA